UUUCUUUUAAAACGACUAAAGAGGAAAAAAACAUAUAUCUAGAAAAUGGGAAGACAAAAAGGUUGAAUCUUGCGAAGUUUCUGAACAUUCCUAUAUUCUGUAUAUUUGUAUAUAUGUGUAUAAGAAGAGAUCAUAAUGAGAUGUAGAUGGCGUACAAUGAAAAGGAGUGCCUCGUUUUAGCAUGACCAUGGGAUUUUGCAUCAAUCAAAAUGAAUUUAGUGUUGC
rnacentral:lncRNA from 1 species